rnacentral:rRNA from 1 species
CCUACGGGAGGCUGCAGUGGGGAAUAUUGGACAAUGGGGGCAACCCUGAUCCAGCCAUGCCGCGUGUGUGAAGAAGGCCCUCGGGUUGUAAAGCACUUUCAGUGAGGAAGAACGCCUGGUGGUUAAUACCCAUCAGGAAAGACAUCACUCACAGAAGAAGCACCGGCUAACUCCGUGCCAGCAGCCGCGGUAAUACGGAGGGUGCGAGCGUUAAUCGGAAUUACUGGGCGUAAAGCGCGCGUAGGUGGCUUGAUAAGCCGGUUGUGAAAGCCCCGGGCUCAACCUGGGAACGGCAUCCGGAACUGUCAAGCUAGAGUGUAGGAGAGGAAGGUAGAAUUCCCGGUGUAGCGGUGAAAUGCGUAGAGUUCGGGAGGAAUACCAGUGGCGAAGGCGGCCUUCUGGACUGACACUGACACUGAGGUGCGAAAGCGUGGGUAGAAAACAGGAUUAGAUACCCCGGUAGUC